GACGAACGCUGGCGGCGCGCCUAACACAUGCAAGUCGAGCGGAGAUGCACGCUGAUGAACCUUCGGGUGAUUCUUGUGUAUUCUUAGCGGCGGACGGGUGAGUAACACGUGAGCAACCUACCCUGGAGUGGGGAAUAACAUUUGGAAACAGAUGCUAAUACCGCAUGAUGUAUAUAUUCGGCAUCGGAUAUAUACCAAAGAUUUAUCGCUCUGGGAUGGGCUCGCGCCUGAUUAGCUAGUUGGUGAGGUAAUGGCUCACCAAGGCGACGAUCAGUAGCCGGACUGAGAGGUUGAACGGCCACAUUGGGACUGAGACACGGCCCAGACUCCUACGGGAGGCAGCAGUGGGGGAUAUUGCACAAUGGGGGAAACCCUGAUGCAGCAAUACCGCGUGUGUGAAGAAGGCCCCUAGGGUUGUAAAGCACUUUUGUUAGGGAGAAUGGCACUUAUAGUUAAUACCUAUAGGCGCUGAUGUUAACCUAAA
rnacentral:rRNA from 1 species